rnacentral:lncRNA from 1 species
AUAGACCUAUUGCAACAGUCCCAAAACCGUUCCAAUAGAGAAUAAAAUAGACCUAUUGCAACGGUUUAUUGGAUUUAAUGGGGGCUAUUGCAACGGUUAUUGAACUAAAGAUGCACCCUUUUAUUUAGUUGUUAAUUAUUUAUCUAAACAAAAACUAAUGCGCUAAAAUUUAUAUAAAUCACGAAAGGAUACUAUUAUUCAUAAACAAAAGCAUCAUCCAGAAUAUCCAGAGAGUAACAUACAUAGGUUCGCACAUUAAUUAGAAGUUGCAAAACAAAACAAAAAUUCCAAAGUAUCUAAACAAACUAAUGUUUCAUCAACAAUCCCACGAGUCUAAAUAUCACCCUCACUGCUUCAAUAUACGCUUUAGCUUAUUUGAUCCACCUACAAAUGAUGACAAAUAAAUGUUAGCAAAAAUUUUGAAUGGUAAAAAGUAAUCAUUAAGUUUGAAUUAGUCAGUAAUGUGCUGCUAAAUUUAUCAAAAGUUACAAAUCAUGCCACAUAAGUCUACCCAUUCAGAGCACUUUGUUCCAGAACAAUUAUGCACUGUGAAUGGAGCUCAGAAGAGGACUAAAUAUUCAAACAUACAGAUGUCAAUGAUUCAACAUCAAUCCUAUAAACCAGUACACGCUAAAGAAUCAAAGCGAUGACCUUCUUCAAAGUCAAAACUAUCUAUAAGAUAUCUAGACCGUCUGACCUUGUCUACUUUUCAUAAUAAGUCAUGUUGAUCAGUGGCGGACCCAGGAUUUUGUGCAAGCGGGUUCAAUCUUAGAAGUAUAUAAAUUUAGUCGUAAAAUAGUAGCUGUCAAGUGGGUUCAAAUAAAAUAUUUAUGUAAAAUUUACAUCGUUUUAAUCCUAAUUUAUACAUAUACACAGUAUUAUUUUUUGUGAAGCGGGUUCAGUUGAACCCGCUAGCCACCACUUGGGUCCGCCACUGAUGUUGACAUCUUCAUGUAUAUGUCAACAACUUUAUGCCUAAUAUAAUAUACUUAUAAUAUGUUUCUAUAAUUAUACAAUGGAUAAAUACUGAUGUUCACCCUGAAAUAGCUUAUGAAACAAACAUAAGAUGAAGGGAAUCUGUUACUAUAAAAAAGAAUCACCUAAUAAUAAAAUUUUGACAAGAAGCAUCUGUUCUGUUUGGUGGGUGCUAAAAAACUUUGCCUGCAAACUAUAUUUCUAUAAGAUAAUCUGAAUUGAGGAUUAGAAAUUCCUUAAGAAGCUACAAUUACAUAAUACAUGUAAGAGACAAACUACUGAUCAAAAACUUUAAGAAGUCCUUUUAACUUACAUGCUCCAGCACAGUUUCUUCCGACCUUACUCUGGAAUUUAUGAAAAUCUUUGGAAAAGGGCAAAAACAUCAAGUGACAGAAAGUUACAUCCUAGUAAAUAGGAUUAGAUGACACUUUAUAUAACCUUAAAUUAAUUGGCAAGAUGCAUCAACACAUUUCAAUGUCAAAUUUAUAACAUACGAUAAAAGAUAACUUUUACCAGUUCUCCAUAAAAUAACUCCAAAAUAUGAUCCAGUCUUGCUUGAUGUCUCACGAGGAAAGGCGCAGAUGGUUUGUGUACUAUUUUUUAGCACCCUGUGUAACACCAUAGAAGUACAUCACUUUCCAAAAAUUCAUUCUCUGUGAAAUGGUAAGUAUAAACUUCAAGCUAAAACAAAAUCAUUAACUCUAAUUAAGUAGUUCAGCAGAAUUCACCUCAAAAGCAACUGCAUAUUUUAACUUUAAAUGAGUGCCAGCCAUUGGCUUUUACCCAUCGCUCUUACUAUUCAGGACAUAGUGAAAUAGUGAAUUCCCCUGUCUUUCUCAUCUUCUGUCUUUUCCAACAUAGCAAUAGAACCGAAAUGGAUUUCACUCAACAGUUAAGAAUGACAGAGAAGUAUACAAUCAUUUGUUCUGAAGGCUGCCAUUUUUUUGUUUCAAUCCAACUGGAUUCAAUGCUGCAAAUAUUCUUCAAUGGUUGUAGCUUCCUAUAAUAAAAAGUAUGUUAUAUAAAUUAAGUUUUCUCUAAAAAGAAUGUCUAGCCAAAAAAGUUAAGAAACAUAACUUACUCCUCAAUGCUAUCAUACAACCCACCAAACCUUUGCACUGGUGGAGGAUUUAUCUUGCGAUGUUGUGCAUCACCUUGACAUUAUAAACAAAAUGCAAGGCACAACAAAAAAAUUAUUGACCAAUAAAAUAAGAAUCAUUAAAAUUUGAUUUCCUGUAAUUACAUACAUGAUUUCCUGUUAUUAAAUUCAACUAUCUAAAGCAACAUUGAAGAGCAUGGCAGAAAAGCCUGCACUGAUAGAGCCCUUAUUGCACAAGGAUAGAAACAACUUGUCCGUCAAAGGAUAAGAGUGACCGCCAAGUUGCACCAGUAAUUAAUUCAUAGAUAAAUUGCUAAAAAGUACUAUAAAAAUAGUUCUGGAUAAACAAAGUCCAAACACAUUUGUACAUGUAAACAAACUGCAAGGAAUGAUUUACCAUGGUGAUUAGCUCAAAUCCUGGAUGAUUGAUCCAUUGCUUUAGAAUACCCUUUGAUUCAGUGGAUAAUUAUAUACAACAACCUGCACGUGGUAUAAAACUUCAUGUAAUUGUACUCAUAUUUCAUAAACAAGAAUGCAGUAGUUGCAUACAUACAACAUAACCCAUUAGAUGUCCUUUUAGACUAAUUAAAGAACAAAAUAUUCUCAGAUGUUGCAAAGUAUUUACUUGAAAAGCUUCAUGCAAUGCAUAAAAUUAGUCAUCCAAGAUCCAAAGAAUAUAAUCAUCAAACCCCAUAAAAGGGGAAUAACACGAAAUAGAAAAAAUGCAUAGCGUUGUACCGGGCACUUCACGAUCCUAAGCACAUAAUCCAUCUAAUAACAAAAAUACAGACAACUCCAAUCAUCCUUAAAGAUAAAAGAUCUUCCAAAUACUACCUACUACAAAUAUACAACCUCUCAGUAGAGAUCCUUCUUUUCAAAAGCCCGCACUCAUUUCCUCCACAACAACGACUCUUAAAAGCAUAAGAUUUGCGAUCGAACCUCGAAAACAGAGAAACCCACAUAACAAUUGAACCAAAAUAUAACCCAGUACUUGUAAUAAUACUUUAAUCCAAAUUCUAAAGGCAUAUCGUAAAUAAUUUCGGGUACGAACUCUACAUUAGAAAGUAAAUAAAGACGAUUUAGAGCAAAGAAGAGUAUGAUAAAGUACAGACCUUUAUUGUUCGGAUUGCGCGAAAUUAUUUUGUAGAGAUGAUGUUGACGAGAGGGAAUUGAGCCCUGCUAUGAAGAAGAAAGGAAAUUAAGCUCUAAUUUCUGAGUUGGAUAGAGGGAUCUAAUUGUACGCUUUGGAAAAAAGGGGGAAAAGUGAAUUGUUAUAAGAAAAAUUAAAUUAUGGUAAAUGUCUACCCUUUUUUAAAGAAAAUCUCUUUC